UACGUAGGGUGCAAGCGUUGUCCGGAAUUAUUGGGCGUAAAGAGCUCGUAGGCGGUCUGUUACGUCGGGUGUGAAACCUCCAGGCUCAACCUGGAGACGCCACCUGAUACUGUUGGGCUAGAGUGCAGGAGGGGAGAGCGGAAUUCCUGGUGGAGCGGUGAAAUGCGUAGAUAUCAGGAGGAACGCCGGCGGCGAAAGCGACUCUCUGGCCUGUAACUGACGCUGAGGCGCGAAAGCUAGGGGAGCAAACGGG
rnacentral:rRNA from 1 species